GACGAACGCUGGCUGCGUGCUUAACACAUGCAAGUCGAACGCUGAAACCCUGGUGCUUGCACCGGGGUGGAUGAGUGGCGAACGGGUGAGUAACACGUGAGUAACCUGCCCCCGACUUCGGGAUAAGCCCGGGAAACUGGGUCUAAUACCGGAUAUGAGCGCCCCUCGCAUGAGGGAUGCUGGAAAGUCUCUUCGGUUGGGGAUGGGCUCGCGGCCUAUCAGUUUGUUGGUGAGGUAAUGGCUCACCAAGACGACGACGGGUAGCCGGCCUGGGAGGGCGACCGGCCACACUGGGACUGAGACACGGCCCAGACUCCUACGGGAGGCAGCAGUGGGGAAUAUUGCACAAUGGGGGAAACCCUGAUGCAGCGACGCAGCGUGCGGGAUGACGGCCUUCGGGUUGUAAACCGCUCUCAGCAGGGAAGAAGCCCCUUGGGGUGACGGUACCUGCAGAAGAAGUACCGGCUAACUACGUGCCAGCCGCCGCCGUAA
rnacentral:rRNA from 1 species